UCAGAAGUGUGCUCUUCUGAUGUUUUGAUGAUUACAGGGCUUAUUUGGUCAAGAUACUCACUUGUAAUUAUUCCAAAAAACCUGAGUCUGUUUGCUAUUAAUUUCUUUGUUGGGGCAGCAGGAGCCUCUCAGCUCUUUCGUAUUUGGAGAUAUAAUCAAGAACUAAAAACGAAUGCAAACAGGAAUUCCUGAUCAUCCUAACACCUUAGAUGUAGCCAUAACCAGUGGGACCUAAUUUGUUUUAUUAUUUGCUUAUUGGUAAGGUGUUGCUCCCUGUGCUAAUGAUUAGAACACAU